rnacentral:lncRNA from 10 species
CGGAAAGUGUCAGGAUCUUGGGGAUCGUAUUGUAUAAAAUGGAUGAAAACAGAGCUAUUGGGUUUGAAGCACUCCUGAACCCUCUCAUGGAACCCUAUGUCUUCCUGGAGUCUACAGAGCUAUUGGGUUUGAAGCACUCCUGAACCGUCUAGUAGAACCCUAUGUCUUCCUGGAGUCUACAGAGCUAUUGGGUUUGAAGCACUCCUGAACCGUCUAGUAGAACCCUAUGUCUUCCUGGAGUUUACAGAAAAAGAGACUCAGGGAUUUUCCCAAAGCACACUGCAAGUUAGGGGCAGGAAUGACAGCCCAGACCUUCUGGUUUCCAGUCCAGGGCUCAACUGCCUAAACAGUGGCAUCUCUUCAGGCAGGCCCUGUCAGAGGCAGGUUAGUAUUUUUAUUUUACUUCUUUUUUUGGUAGAGACAGGGUCUUGCCAUGUUGACCAGGCUGGUCUCAAACUCCUGGCCUCAAGUGAUCCUCUCACCUUGGCCUCCCAAAUUGCUGAGAUUACAGAUAUGAGCCACUAU